UACGGAGGGUGCGAGCGUUGUCCGGAAUUACUGGGCGUAAAGAGCUCGUAGGCGGUUUGUCGCGUCGUCUGUGAAAUUCCGGGGCUUAACUCCGGGCGUGCAGGCGAUACGGGCAUAACUUGAGUACUGUAGGGGAGACUGGAAUUCCUGGUGUAGCGGUGAAAUGCGCAGAUAUCAGGCGGAACUCCGAUGGCGUAGUCGGGUCUCUGGGCAGUACCUGACG
rnacentral:rRNA from 1 species